AGCAAAUAAUGAAAGUUUUAGCAUGAUUCACGCAUUAUGAAUGCCAUGAGAUAUGUUAGGGUGCUUGCAUUAGAAUUCACGAAUAUGUUGCAUUGCAUAUUAUGUUGUUGAUGUGGAUGAAUGUUGAAUGAUCCAUUAGCCCUCAUAUGUUAUGACAUGAUGAUAUGAUAUGGAAGUCCAGGCGUGCCUGCUCUACGCCCCUGGCACUAUGUAAGAGAAAGUCCGGGUGUGCCUGCACUAUGCCCCCAGCAUGAUUGGAUAUGUAUGUUAUGGUAUGGAAGUCCAGGCGUGCCUGCUCUACGCCCCUGGC
rnacentral:lncRNA from 1 species